AAGGCUAUACUUUCAGGGAUCAUUUCUAUAGU
rnacentral:miRNA from 1 species